rnacentral:rRNA from 1 species
UACGUAGGGUCCGAGCGUUGUCCGGAAUUACUGGGCGUAAAGAGCUCGUAGGUGGUUUGUCGCGUUGUUCGUGAAAACUCACAGCUCAACUGUGGGCGUGCGGGCGAUACGGGCAGACUUGAGUACUGCAGGGGAGACUGGAAUUCCUGGUGUAGCGGUGGAAUGCGCAGAUAUCAGGAGGAACACCGGUGGCGAAGGCGGGUCUCUGGGACGUGACUGACGCUGAGACGCGAAAGCGUGGGGAGCGAACAGG